rnacentral:rRNA from 1 species
UUAGAGUUUGAUCCUGGCUCAGCCUGAACGCUGGCGGCGUGGCUAAGACAUGCAAGUCGUACGGGUGCAGCAAUGCACCAGUGGCGGACGGGUGAGUAAUGUAUCGCUAAUGUACCCCAGACUCUGGGAUAGCCGUGGGAAACCGCGGGUAAUACCAGAUGACAUAACCGAAUCGCAUGGUUUGGUUCUCAAAGGGCAACCGGUUUGGGAGCAGGCGAUAUCGUAUCAGCUAGUUGGUGGGGUAACGGCCUACCAAGGCGACGACGCGUAGCUGGUCUGAGAGGACGACCAGCCACAUUGGGACUGAGACACUGCCCAGACUCCUACGGGGGGCUGCAGUAACGAAUCUUCCGCAAUGCACGCAAGUGUGACGGAGCGACGCCGCGUGGAGGUUAAGUCCUUCGGGAUGUAAACUCCUGUCAGGGGUUACCAAGUUCUGAGGAGCCCCAGAGGAAGGCACGGCUAACUCUGUGCCAGCAGCCGCGGUAAUACAGAGGUGCCAAGCGUUAGGCGGAACCACUGGGCUUAAAGCGCGUGUAGGUGGAUGGGUAAGUACCUUGUGAAAUCCCACGGCUCAACCGUGGAACUGCUGGGUAUACUGCUUGUCUUGAGGCACUUAGGGGCAGCUGGAACAAAUGGUGGAGCGGUGAAAUGCGUAGAUAUCAUUUGGAACGCCAAAGGCGAAAGCAGGCUGCUGGGGAGUGAUCUGACACUGAGACGCGAAAGCCAGGGGAGCAAACGGGAUUAGAUACCCCGGUAGUCCUGGCCCUAAACGAUGUCCACUAGAUUGUGGCGGCUCUGACGCCGUCAUGGUCGAAGCAAAAGUGUUAAGUGGACCGCCUGGGAAGUACGGUCGCAAGGCUAAAACUCAAAGGAAUUGACGGGGGCUCACACAAGCGGUGGAGCAUGUGGUUUAAUUCGAAGCAACGCGCGGAACCUUACCUGGGCUUGACAUGCCUGGAUUAUCCCCAUGAAAGUGGGGUACAGCCCGCAAGGGCCGGAACAGGUACAGGUGCUGCAUGGCUGUCGUCAGCUCGUGUCGUGAGAUGUCGGGUUAAGUCCCUUAACGAGCGAAACCUUUGCCCUUAGUUACUAACGGGUUAUGCCGAGGACUCUAAGGGGACUGCCGGUGUCAAACCGGAGGAAGGUGGAGAUGACGUCAAGUCCUCAUGGCCUUUAUGCCCAGGGCUACACACGUGCUACAAUGGGAUGGACAGAGCGAACCGAGACCGCAAGGUGGAGGAAAUCGCAUAAAUCAUCCCUCAGUUCAGAUUGGAGGCUGCAACUCGCCUCCAUGAAGCUGGAAUCGCUAGUAAUCGCGUAUCAGCUACGACGCGGUGAAUAUGUUCCUGAGCCUUGUACACACCGCCCGUCAAGUCAUGGGAGCCGGAAAUAGCCGAAGUGGCCUCACUACAGAGGUCCCUACGCUAGGUUCGGUGACUGGGACUAAGUCGUAACAAGGUAACC